rnacentral:rRNA from 1 species
UGGGGAAUAUUGGACAAUGGGCGCAAGCCUGAUCCAGCCAUGCCGCGUGAGUGAUGAAGGCCCUAGGGUUGUAAAGCUCUUUCACCGAUGAAGAUAAUGACGGUAGUCGGAGAAGAAGCCCCGGCUAACUUCGUGCCAGCAGCCGCGGUAAUACGCAGGGGGCUAGCGUUGUUCGGAAUUACUGGGCGUAAAGCGCACGUAGGCGGAUAUUUAAGUCAGGGGUGAAAUCCCAGAGCUCAACUCUGGAACUGCCUUUGAUACUGGGUAUCUCGAGUAUGGAAGAGGUGAGUGGAAUUCCGAGUGUAGAGGUGAAAUUCGUAGAUAUUCGGAGGAACACCAGUGGCGAAGGCGGCUCACUGGUCCAUUACUGACGCUGAGGUGCGAAAGCGUGGGGAGCAAACA